CACGUAGGCGGAUUUGCCAGUCAGGGGUGAAAUCCCGGGGCUCAACCUCGGAACUGCCUUUGAUACAGCAAGUCUUGAGUUCGAGAGAGGUGGGUGGAAUUCCUAGUGUAGAGGUGAAAUUCGUAGAUAUUAGGAAGAACACCGGUGGCGAAGGCGGCCCACUGGCUCGACACUGACGCUGAGGUGCGAAAGCGUGGGAGCAAACA
rnacentral:rRNA from 1 species